rnacentral:rRNA from 1 species
UAGGGAAUCUUCCGCAAUGGACGCAAGUCUGACGGAGCAACGCCGCGUGAGUGAAGAAGGUUUUCGGAUCGUAAAACUCUGUUGUUAGAGAAGAACAAGUGCUAGAGUAACUGUUAGCGCCUUGACGGUAUCUAACCAGAAAGCCACGGCUAACUACGUGCCAGCAGCCGCGGUAAUACGUAGGUGGCAAGCGUUGUCCGGGUUUAUUGGGCGUAAAGCGAGCGCAGGCGGUUCCUUAAGUCUGAUGUGAAAGCCCCCGGCUCAACCGGGGAGGGUCAUUGGAAACUGGGGAACUUGAGUGCAGAAGAGGAGAGUGGAAUUCCAUGUGUAGCGGUGAAAUGCGUAGAUAUAUGGAGGAACACCAGUGGCGAAGGCGACUCUCUGGUCUGUAACUGACGCUGAGGCUCGAAAGCGUGGGUAGCAAACAGGAUUAGAUACCCUGGUAGUCCACGCCGUAAACGAUGAGUGCUAAGUGUUGGAGGGUUUCCGCCCUUCAGUGCUGCAGUUAACGCAUUAAGCACUCCGCCUGGGGAGUACGACCGCAAGGUUG